CCGUGGCUUAGUUGGUUAAAGCGCCUGUCUAGUAAACGGAGAUCACGAGUUCGAAUCGUCGUGCCUGGAAGG
rnacentral:tRNA from 1 species